ACUGAUGAAUUCAACGACUGCGUGCCUGUGCCAAAAGGCUCGGGUAAUCUUUUGAAAUUUCAUCGUGGGGAUAGAUCAUUGCAAUUAUUGAUCUUCAAU
rnacentral:rRNA from 1 species